UACAGAGGGUGCGAGCGUUAAUCGGAAUUACUGGGCGUAAAGGGCGCGUAGGCGGCACGGCAAGUCAGGAGUGAAAGCCCUGGGCUCAACCCGGGAACUGCUUUUGAAACUGCCGAGCUAGAGUGCGGAAGGGGCAACUGGAAUUCCCAGUGUAGCGGUGAAAUGCGUAGAUAUUGGGAAGAACACCUGAGGCGAAGGCGGGUUGCUGGGCCGACACUGACGCUGAUGCGCGAAAGCCAGGGGAGCGAACGGG
rnacentral:rRNA from 1 species